GUAGGUGGCAAGCGUUGUCCGGAAUUAUUGGGGCGUAAAGCGCGCGCAGGCGGUUCUUUAAGUCUGAUGUGAAAGCCCACGGGCUCAACCGUGGAGGGUCAUUGGAAACUGGAGAACUUGAGUACAGAAGAGGAAAGCGGAAUUCCACGUGUAGCGGUGAAAUGCGUAGAGAUGUGGAGGAACACCAGUGGCGAAGGCGGCUUUCUGGUCUGUAACUGAUGCUGAGGCGCGAAAGCGUGGGGAGCAAACAGGAUUAGAUACCCUGGUAGUCCACGCCGUAAACGAUGAGUGCUAAGUGUUAGGGGGUUUCCGCCCCUUAGUGCUGCAGCUAACGCAUUAAGCACUCCGCCUGGGGAGUACGGCCGCAAAGGCUG
rnacentral:rRNA from 1 species